rnacentral:rRNA from 1 species
GGUAACGGUGUGCUUGCGCCGCCGACGACCGGCGCACGGGUGAGUAACGCGUAUACAAUCUGCCUUGUACUGAGGGAUACCCCAUAGAAAUUUGGAUUAAUACCUCAUAUUAUAUGGAUCUCUCAUGAGGCUCAUAUUAAAGGUUACGGUACAAGAUGAGUAUGCGUUCUAUUAGCUAGAUGGUAAGGUAACGGCUUACCAUGGCUACGAUAGAUAGGGGCCCUGAGAGGGGGAUCCCCCACACUGGUACUGAGACACGGACCAGACUCCUACGGGAGGCAGCAGUGAGGAAUAUUGGACAAUGGGCGAGAGCCUGAUCCAGCCAUGCCGCGUGCAGGAUGACGGCCCUAUGGGUUGUAAACUGCUUUUAUACAGGAAGAAACACCCCGACGUGUCGGGACUUGACGGUACUGUAAGAAUAAGGAUCGGCUAACUCCGUGCCAGCAGCCGCGGUAAUACGGAGGAUCCAAGCGUUAUCCGGAAUCAUUGGGUUUAAAGGGUCCGUAGGUGGACAAUUAAGUCAGAGGUGAAAUCCUGCAGCUCAACUGUAGAAUUGCCUUUGAUACUGGUUGUCUUGAGUUAUUAUGAAGUAGUUAGAAUAUGUAGUGUAGCGGUGAAAUGCAUAGAUAUUACAUAGAAUACCAAUUGCGAAGGCAGAUUACUAAUAAUGAACUGACACUGAUGGACGAAAGCGUGGGGAGCGAACAGGAUUAGAUACCCUGGUAGUCCGCGCCGUAAACGAUGGUUACUAGUUGUUCGGAUUUCGGUCUGAGUGACUAAG